rnacentral:rRNA from 1 species
GAAUGCUGACAUAAGUAACGAUAAAGCGGGUGAAAAGCCCGCUCGCCGGAAGACCAAGGGUUCCUGUCCAACGUUAAUCGGGGCAGGGUGAGUCGACCCCUAAGGCGAGGCCGAAAGGCGUAGUCGAUGGGAAACGGGUUAAUAUUCCCGUACUUGGUGUUACUGCGAAGGGGGGACGGAGAAGGCUAUGUUGGCCGGGCGACGGUUGUCCCGGUUUAAGCGUGUAGGUGUGUGUUCCAGGUAAAUCCGGUUCACUUUAACACUGAGGCGUGACGACGAGGCACUACGGUGCUGAAGCAACAAAUGCCCUGCUUCCAGGAAAAGCCUCUAAGCAUCAGGUAACAUCAAAUCGUACC